CCCUUAGAUGUUCUGGGCCGCACGCGUGCUACACUGAGUGGAUCAGCGGGUCAGGUUGCGCGAAAGCGUUUCCUAAUCUUUAAAUCCGCUCGUGAUGGGGAUUGACGGUUGCAAUUUUCUGUCAUGAACGAGGAAUACCUUGUAAGCGCGGGUCAUCAUCCCGCGCUGAAUACGUCCCUGCCUUUUGUACACACCGCCCGUCGCUCCUACCGAUUGAGUGGUCCGGUGAGGCUUUGGGAUCUGAGCGGAAAGAGCGUUUCGCUGUUUCUGCUCGGAAAACUCAGUCGAACCUUAUCAUUUAGAGGAAGGAGAAGUCGUAACA
rnacentral:rRNA from 1 species